CCAAUAGCGUAUAUUAAAGUUGCUGCAGUUAAAAAGCUCGUAGUUGAAUUUCGGGACUAAUAUGUCGGUCGUGCCUCGGUACGUACUGGUAUUUUUGGUUUCUCCCUUCUGACGAACCUUGAUGUCAUUCAUUUGGUGUCUUGGGAAAUCAGGACUGUGACUUUGAAAAAAUUUGAGUGUUUAAAGCAGGCCUACGCUUGAAUACAUUAGCAUGGAAUAAUGAAAUAGGACGUUUGAUUCUAUUUUGUUGGUUUCUAGGAUCGACGUAAUGAUUAAUAGGGAUAGUUGGGGGCAUUAGUAUUCAAUUGUCAGAGGUGAAAUUCUUGGAUUUAUUGAAGACUAACUACUGCGAAAGCAUUUGCCAAGGAUGUUUUCAUUAAUCAAGAACGAAAGUUAGGGGAUCGAAGACGAUCAGAUACCGUCGUAGUCUUAACCAUAAACUAUGCCGACUAGGGAUCGGAUGAUGUUAAUUUUUUAAUGACUCAUUCGGCGCCUUACG
rnacentral:rRNA from 1 species